UACGAAGGGGGCUAGCGUUGCUCGGAAUUACUGGGCGUAAAGGGAGCGUAGGCGGCUUGUCACGUCGGGUGUGAAAGCCCGGGGCUUAACCCCGGGUCUGCAUUCGAUACGGGCUAGCUAGAGUGUGGUAGGGGAGAUCGGAAUUCCUGGUGUAGCGGUGAAAUGCGUAGAUAUGUGGAGGAACACCGAUGGCGAAGGCAGCCUUCUGGGCCAACACUGACGCUCAUGCACGAAAGCGUGGGGAGCAAACAGG
rnacentral:rRNA from 1 species